CCUACGGGGAGCUGCAGUGAGGAAUAUUGGUGAAUGGACGAGAGUCUGAACCAGCCAAGUAGCGUGAAGGAUGACUGCCCUAUGGGUUGUAAACUUCUUUUAUAUGGGAAUAAAACGUUCCACGUGUGGGAUUUUGUAUGUACCAUAUGAAUAAGGAUCGGCUAACUCCGUGCCAGCAGCCGCGGUAAUACGGAGGAUCCGAGCGUUAUCCGGAUUUAUUGGGUUUAAAGGGAGCGUAGGUGGAUUGUUAAGUCAGUUGUGAAAGUUUGCGGCUCAACCGUAAAAUUGCAGUUGAAACUGGCAGUCUUGAGUACAGUAGAGGUGGGCGGAAUUCGUGGUGUAGCGGUGAAAUGCUUAGAGAUCACGAAGAACUCCGAUUGCGAAGGCAGUUCACUGGACUGCAACUGACACUGAGGCUCGAAAGUGUGGGUAUCAAACAGGAUUAGAUACCCCUGUAGUC
rnacentral:rRNA from 1 species